GCCUAGCUGGCUCAGUUGGUGGAGCAUGCGACUCUUGAUCUCAGGGUCAUGAGUUUGAGCCCCAUAUUGGGCA
rnacentral:tRNA from 1 species